AUUGAACGCUGGCGGCAGGCUUAACACAUGCAAGUCGAGCGAGCGGCGGACGGGUGAGUAAUGUCUGGGAAACUGCCUGAUGGAGGGGGAUAACUACUGGAAACGGUAGCUAAUACCGCAUACCAUCAGAUGUGCCCAGAUGGGAUUAGCUAGUAGGGGGGGUAAUGGCUCAACUAGGCGACGAUCCCUAGAGGGUCUGAGAGGAUGACCAGCCACACGGGACCUGAGACACGUUCCAGACCCCUACGUGAGACAGCAGUGGGGAAUAUUGCACAAUGGGCGCAAGCCUGAUGCAGCCAUGCCGCGUGUGUGAAGCAGGCCUUCGGGUUGUAAAUCACUUUCAGCGAGGAGGCGUUACUCGCAGAAGAAGCACCGGCUAACUCCGUGCCAGCAGCCGCGGUAAUUC
rnacentral:rRNA from 1 species